UUAGUUUUAGUAUAUCUAUGUAUUUAAAUUGAUUUUUUAUAUUUAGUUUGAUGGUUUGCUGCAUCACUUUGAUGUUUUGAUGUGUGGAAUGAAUGCUGGUGAACUCUUGAUAAAAGCAUUAGAUGAUGAAAAAUUUAUGGUAUGUUGAAUUUCAAGAAAUUUGCUAUUUUACAACAAAUGGAUUCAUGCUGGUAAUUGAUUGCAUUGUUGUGGUUGAUGGAAGGACCAAUUUUGUCAAGUCAUUUUGUUGUUUGUUUUCGAGUUUUUAUAUUUUCAAUAUAUCAUAUCCAUAAAUAAAAGAAGCUUCGAAUUUUGUCAACGUGCAUUUUUCAGCAUCAAUCCUGAAAAAGGGAGCAAAUCAAGGCGAACGAAGGAGACUUGUACUUCUGCAGUACUGCAGAAGUUUGCAAGAUUUAAUAUUUAAAUUUACUACGUAGUUAAACUAAAUAUAACUUUGAAAAAACAAUUUAUUUUGUAGAUAUUAGAAUCUGAUACUCUCAAAAAAUGUAAAAUUUGUUUUGAACUCAAAAAAAAAAACUAUGAAAUCUAAACUCGAUUUUAUUUGAUCUAUAAUUACUUAUUCGUUAUUUAGACAAAAUUUCCUGCGUUUUGGAGCAACUAAUGCAAUUA